GCUUUUGGUGCCUUCGGGAACUCUGAGACAGGUGCUGCAUGGCUGUCGUCAGCUCGUGUUGUGAAAUGUUGGGUUAAGUCCCGCAACGAGCGCAACCCUUAUCCUUUGUUGCCAGCGGUCCGGCCGGGAACUCAAAGGAGACUGCCAGUGAUAAACUGGAGGAAGUGGGGAUGACGUCAAGUCAUCAUGGCCCUUACGAGUAGGGCUACACACGUGCUACGAUGGCGCAUACAAAGAGAAGCGACCUCGCGAGAGCAAGCGGACCUCAUAAAGUGCGUCGUAGUCCGGAUUGGAGUCUGCAACUCGACUCCAUGAAGUCGGAAUCGCUAGUAAUCGUGGAUCAGAAUGCCACGGUGAAUACGUUCCCGGGCCUUGUACACACCGCCCGUCACACCAUGGGAGUGGGUUGCAAAAGAAGUAGGUAGCUUAACCUUCGGGAGGGCGCUUACCACUUUGUGAUUCAUGACUGGGGUGAAGUCGUAACAAGGUAAGCGUAGUGCU
rnacentral:rRNA from 1 species